UUGGGUGGCCAAACCUCCUUGUCAAAGUCUGAUUUUGUCAGAUCUCAGAACCUAAGCAAGGCCGGGCCUGGUUAGUACUUGGAUGGGAGCCUGCUAGGAAUUUCAAGUGCCACAGU
rnacentral:rRNA from 1 species